AACACUGUUCAAACAAGCGACACGUCAACAACAGCUACAGCCGAUGGCUCAUGUUCAGGGGACUCUGACUGCAGUGCAUUUCCGACUACAAGUUGCCAUGCUGGUUUCUGUACAUGUGGUAUAGGAUACGAUCUGGAUGUUGCUAGAGCAGUUUGCAGGGACUUAAGAGAGUGUACCACCUUCGGAACAGAAUACAUCCAUUUCCCAGGACAGGUUAUUUGGAGAGAAGAUAUAGAGUCAAACCCCUCCUCAUAUCCUGUAGCACAAUGUGUUCAAUUAUGCAAUGAAGCUUC